rnacentral:snRNA from 1 species
GUGCUCGCUUCGGCAGCACUUAUACUAAAAUUGGAACGAUACAGAGAAGAUUAGCAUGGCCCCUGUGCAAGGAUGACACGCAAAUUCGUGUAAAGGAAAAGAAAAAA